CCAGAAUCACAUACCGCCCUGAGCUUACUGAUCUUGUCUGAUUUUUAGAAGCUAUGCAAGGUUGGACCUGGUUAGUAUUUGGAUGGGAGACUACUAGGGAAUAUCAUGGAUUUCCAGU
rnacentral:rRNA from 1 species